rnacentral:rRNA from 1 species
CCUACGGGAGGCAGCAGUGGGGGAUAUUGGACAAUGGGGGGAACCCUGAUCCAGCGACGCCGCGUGAGUGAAGAAGUAUUUCGGUAUGUAAAGCUCUGUCAGCAGGGAAGAAAGAAAUGACGGUACCUGACCAAGAAGCCCCGGCUAACUACGGGCCAGCAGCCGCGGUAAUACGUAGGGGGCAAGCGUUAUCCGGAAUUACUGGGUGUAAAGGGAGCGUAGACGGUUAAGUAAGUCUGGAGUGAAAGGCCGGGGGCCAACCCCGGGACUGCUAUGGAAACUAUUGAACUUGAGUGCAGGAGAGGUAAGCGGAAUUCCUAGUGUAGCGGUGAAAUGCGUAGAUAUUAGGAGGAACACCAGUGGCGAAGGCAGCUUACUGGACUGUAACUGACGUUGAGGCUCGAAAGCGUGGGGAGCAAACAGGAUUAGAUACCCCAGUAGUC